UACAGAGGGGGCAAGCGUUAUUCGGAAUUAUUGGGCGUAAAGGGCGCGUAGGCGGCUUGGCAAGUGGAUGGUGAAAUCCCUCGGCUUAACCGAGGAACUGCCGUCCAAACUGCUUCGCUUGAGACCGGGAGAGGUGAGUGGAAUUCCCAGUGUAGCGGUGAAAUGCGUAGAUAUUGGGAGGAAUUCCUGAGGAGACGGCGACCACCGGGAUCUACACUGACGCUGAGGUGCGAAAGCGUGGGUAGCAAACAGG
rnacentral:rRNA from 1 species